UACGUAGGGUGCGAGCGUUGUCCGGAAUUAUUGGGCGUAAAGGGCUCGUAGGCGGUCUGUCACGUCGGGAGUGAAAACACGGGGCUUAACCCCGUGCCUGCUUCCGAUACGGGCAGACUAGAGGUAUGCAGGGGAGAACGGAAUUCCUGGUGUAGCGGUGAAAUGCGCAGAUAUCAGGAGGAACACCGGUGGCGAAGGCGGGUCUCUGGGCCGUAACUGACGCUGAGGAGCGAAAGCAUGGGGAGCGAACAGG
rnacentral:rRNA from 1 species